UACAGAGGUCUCAAGCGUUGUUCGGAUUCAUUGGGCGUAAAGGGUGCGUAGGUGGCGGGGUAAGUCAGAUGUGAAAUCUCGGAGCUCAACUCCGAAACUGCAUUUGAUACUGCCUUGCUUGAGUACUGGAGAGGAGAUUGGAAUUUACGGUGUAGCAGUGAAAUGCGUAGAUAUCGUAAGGAAGACCAGUGGCGAAGGCGACUUACUGGACACAUAUUGACGCUGAGGUGCGAAAGCGUGGGGAGCAAACAGG
rnacentral:rRNA from 1 species